AUGGCAGCGAUGAGAGCCCCCAUCAAAACUGCCGUCCACGAACAGGGGAGGAGAACUGCAACAUCAACAAUGGUGGCUGUGCUCAGAAGUGCCAGAUGGUACGAGGGAUGGUGCAGUGCACCUGCCACACAGGUUACAGGCUCCUGGAAGACGGCCGAUCAUGCCAAGAUGUGAAUGAAUGUGCUGAGGAAGGCUACUGCAGCCAAGGCUGUACCAACAGUGAAGGAGGUUUCCAGUGCUGGUGUGAGCAAGGCUACGAGCUGCGACCUGACAAGCGUAGCUGCAAAGCUCUAGGGCCAGAGCCAGUGCUGCUCUUUGCCAAUCGAAUCGAUAUCCGACAAGUGUUGCCUCACCGCUCAGAGUAUACGCUGCUCCUGAACAACCUGGAAAACGCCAUCGCCCUUGACUUCCACCACAGCAAGGAGCUGGUGUUCUGGUCUGACGUCACCCUCGAUCGCAUCAUGAGGGCCAAUCUGAACGGUAGCAACGUGGAAGAGGUGGUUUCCACAGGGCUGGAGAGCCCAGGUGGGCUUGCUAUUGACUGGAUCCACGACAAAUUAUACUGGACAGACUCUGGGACAUCUCGAAUCGAAGUAGCAAACUUGGAUGGCACUCACAGGAAAGUGCUUUUGUGGCAGAACCUGGAGAAGCCCCGAGCAAUUGCCCUACAUCCUAUGGAGGGCACUAUCUACUGGACCGACUGGGGCAACACUCCCCGCAUUGAGUAUUCCAACAUGGAUGGCUCUAACCGGCGCAUCAUUGCGGACACGCACCUCUUCUGGCCCAACGGACUGACCAUUGACUAUGCAGGACACCGAAUGUACUGGGUGGAUGCCAAACAUCACGUCAUUGAGAGAGCCGACCUUGACGGGCGGAAUAGGAAGGCUGUUAUUAGCCAAGGCCUCCCCCACCCAUUUGCUAUCACUGUGUUUGAGGACAGUUUGUACUGGACAGACUGGCACACCAAGAGCAUCAACAGCGCCAACAAAUUCACGGGCAAGAACCAGGAGAUCAUCCGCAACAAGCUCCACUUCCCUAUGGACAUCCACACGCUGCACCCUCAGCGCCAGCCAGCAGCAGGGAGAAACCGUUGUGGGGCCAACAACGGGGGCUGUACUCACCUCUGCCUGCCCAGCAGCAAGGAUUACACCUGCGCCUGCCCCACGGGCUUCCGCAAGACCAGCAGCCAUGCCUGCGCCCAGAGUCUUGACAAGUUCCUGCUUUUUGCCCGAAGGAUGGACAUCCGUCGGAUCAGCUUUGACACAGAUGACCUGUCAGAUGAUGUCAUCCCCCUUGCUGAUGUUCGCAGCGCUGUGGCUCUAGACUGGGACUCAAAGGAUGACUACGUCUACUGGACAGAUGUUAGCACCGACUCAAUCAGCCGAGCAAAAUGGGAUGGAUCAAGUCAAGAGGUUGUAGUGGACACCAGCCUGGAGAGUCCAGCUGGACUGGCAAUUGACUGGGUCACCAACAAACUAUACUGGACUGAUGCAGGAACAGAUCGGAUAGAGGUCUCCAACACAGAUGGGACCAUGAGAACUGUUCUAAUCUGGGAGAACCUAGACAGACCUAGAGAUAUUGUGGUGGACCCAGUUGGAGGGUUCAUGUACUGGACUGACUGGGGAGCCAGCCCCAAAAUUGAGCGCGCUGGUAUGGAUGCCUCAAACCGCUUGGUGAUCAUUUCUUCCAACCUGACGUGGCCUAACGGCCUGGCCAUUGACUACGAGUCGCAGCGCUUGUACUGGGCAGACGCGGGCAUGAAGACCAUCGAGUAUGCCAGCCUGGAUGGGAACAACAGGAAGGUGCUGAUUGGGAGCAAUCUGCCUCACCCCUUUGGACUUACUCUUUAUGGCGAGAGAAUCUACUGGACAGACUGGCAGGCCAAAAGCAUCCAGAGCGCAGAUAGAAGGACUGGGCAGGCUCGGGAAACGCUGCAGGACAAUCUGGAGAAUCUUAUGGAUAUUCAUGUUUUCCACCGGCACAGGCCACCAGUGCGUACAGCAUGUCAAGUUGGCAAUGGAGGCUGCAGCCACCUGUGCCUUUUGGCACCUCUUCCAAAAGGUUACAGCUGUACCUGCCCUACUGGGAUCAACCUGCAAUCCGAUGGCAAGACCUGCUCCCCUGGAAUGACCAGCUUUCUGAUCUUUGCCAGAAGGACUGACAUCCGCAUGGUGUCUCUGGAUAUUCCCUACUUUGCAGAUGUUGUCAUCUCAGUCAACGUCACCAUGAAGAACACCAUUGCGAUUGGAGUGGAUCCUCGUGAAGGAAAGGUUUACUGGUCAGACAGUACUCUGCGGAAAAUCAGCCGGGCUGCCCUAGAUGGCUCACAAUUUGAGGACAUCAUCACUACAGGUCUGUUGACUACAGAUGGACUGGCUGUGGAUGCUAUUGGCAGGAAGAUAUAUUGGACAGAUACAGGAACAAACCGGAUUGAAGUGGGCAACCUUGAUGGCUCCAUGAGGAAAGUCUUGGUCUGGCAGAACCUGGACAGCCCUCGAGCAAUAGCUUUAUACCAUGAGAUGGGGUACAUGUACUGGACGGACUGGGGUGAGAAUGCCAAGCUGGAACGCUCUGGGAUGGAUGGCUCUGGACGUGUGGUGUUGAUCAGCAACAACCUGGGCUGGCCUAACGGACUGGCAGUGGAUAAGGCUGGGUCCCAGCUGCUCUGGGCUGAUGCACACACUGAGCGUAUCGAGGCUGCAGAUCUCAACGGCGCGAACCGCCGCACCCUGCUGUCUCCGGUGCAACAUCCAUACGGCCUCACUUUGCUGGACUCUUACAUCUACUGGACAGACUGGCAAACUCGCAGCAUUCACAGGGCUGAUAAGGACACUGGUGCCAAUGUCAUCUUGGUGAGGGCAAACCUGCCUGGCCUCAUGGACAUCCAGGCUGUGGAUAGGGCACGGCCCCUGGGCUUCAAUAAAUGUGGAGUUCGUAAUGGUGGCUGCUCUCACCUUUGCUUGCCUCACCCCACGGGCUUCUCCUGUGCCUGCCCCACUGGCAUCCAGCUGAAGAGAGAUGAGCAGACAUGUGACUCUUCUCCAGAGACCUACCUACUUUUCUCUAGCCGUGCUUCCAUCCGCCGUAUCUCGCUGGACACCAGUGACCACACAGAUGUGCACAUACCUGUCCCUGAGUUGAACAACGUCAUUUCUCUGGACUAUGACAGUGUUGACGGCAAGAUUUACUACACAGAUGUAUUUCUUGAUGUCAUCAGGAGGUCGGAUCUGAACGGCAGCAACAUGGAAACUGUUAUUGGUCAGGGUCUGAAGACUACAGAUGGCCUGGCAGUGGACUGGGUUGCCAGGAACCUUUACUGGACAGACACAGGACGCAAUACCAUCGAAGUAGCUAGACUGGAUGGAAGCUCCAGGAAAGUGCUGAUCAAUAACAGCCUGGAUGAGCCCCGAGCCAUCGCUGUCUUUCCCAAGAAGGGGUACCUCUUCUGGACAGAUUGGGGUCACAUUGCUAAAAUUGAACGAGCAAACUUGGACGGCUCUGAACGUAAAAUCCUGAUUAACACUGACCUGGGAUGGCCCAAUGGAUUGACUUUGGAUUAUGACACCAGGAGGAUUUACUGGGUGGACGCGCAUCUUGAUCGUAUAGAGAGCUGCGAUCUCAAUGGAAAGCUGCGGCAAGUGUUGGUCAGCCAGGUGUCACAUCCCUUUGCUCUCACACAGCAGGAUAGGUGGAUAUACUGGACUGACUGGCAAACCAAAUCUAUCCAGAGAGUGGACAAAUACUCCGGGCGGAACAAAGAGACAGUCCUGGCCAAUGUUGAGGGACUGAUGGACAUCAUUGUUGUUUCCCCUCAGAGACAGACAGGUACUAAUGCUUGCGGAGUGAACAAUGGAGGCUGCACUCACCUCUGCUUCGCCAGGGCUUCUGACUUCGUCUGCGCGUGUCCGGAUGAACCAGAUGGGCGGCCCUGUUCUACCAUUCCUGGUGUGGUGCCCCCUGGUCCUGAACCCACCAGGGUAAGUGAGAGAAGUCAGACACCACCUGGCAGAGUAGAUACCUCAACAACCAAACCUCUCACGUCUCUGGAAGCAGUGGAAGGAAACUGCUCUGACAAAGACGCGAGGCGAGGCUUGUGUACCCACGCCAACGAGGCAGUGUUGGCAACCAUGGGAGAAGGACUGCACGUCAGCUACAUUAUUGGAGGUCUUCUCAGCAUCCUGUUUAUUUUGCUGCUUAUUGCUGCUUUGAUUAUAUAUAGGCACAAUAAGUCCAAGUUCACCGACCCUGGCUUGGGGAACCUAACCUACAGUAAUCCUUCAUAUCGGACGUCUACCCAGGAGGUGAAGAUUGAAGCGAUUCCCAAACCAACCAUGUACAACCAGUUGUGCUAUAAGAAAGAGACUGGUCCUGACCACAGCUACACCAAGGAGAAGAUCAAGAUCGUGGAGGGGAUAUGCCUUUUAUCCGGUGAUGAUUCCGAGUGGGAUGACCUUAAGCAGAUUCGGAGCUCCCGAGGAGGGAUCCUCCGUGACCACGUCUGCAUGAAGACAGACACGGUCUCCAUCCAGGCGAGUUCGGGUUCACUGGACGAUACCGAAACUGAGCAGCUGCUACAGGAGGAACAGUCUGAGUGCAGCAGUGUGAACACAGCAGCAGCCACCCCUGAACGGCGUGGCUCGCUCCCAGACACAGGCUGGAAACACCAACGCAAGCCCUCCACGGAGAGCGAGGUCUAAAGUACGCGCGACUUUGGAAACGCUCGUACCCUCCUUCGCCUCUGCUCUGCACAAAAAGAAAAAAAAAAAAAUAUACAGACAGGACUCUGCCUGCUGGGCAAGGAAGGGGACAGAGACCAGCCUCUCGCGCGAGUGGCCCAGAGACUGUGACUGCCUUUCAGCGAGGAGCUUGGGCAGCUGUGCUGUUGUGGUUGGAGAGGGAGGAUGGGUGGGUUGGAACCCAGAGACCCUUUUUGGCUCAUUUUCACUGUCUGUGGUUUAUUUAUAUAUUCCCUUUUCCUGGAAGCUGCCACGUUUAACUUUUGCAGUGACUCCUCUGGCCUGAAUCCGGUUUGGGUUCUGUUUUCUCUGGCAACCUGCAAGUCCUGUGCCAUCCAACUCACGGUCAAUGCCCAAGAGGAGAGCAAGAGCUGCCUCAUUGCUAGCUCCUGGUCACAGAAGUUCCCUGUGUCAUUCCAGUGCUAACAGCACCCUUUGAGGCUUUGUGUUGAGGGGUCUCUGACUUGAGAGAGGUCCUGGAAUAGAUGGAGGAUAGUUUGGGGCUCGAGGGGACGCUGACACAGCAUCAGGUCACUCUUUAAGGGCAUGAAAGAAGGUAACCACAGUUGCCAUGGGUUUCUUCCUGAGAGCAUCACUGCUUACUUUCCCAUCUGCUAGUAAAUACUUUAAGGGAUUCUCGGAUUGGAGCACUGUGUCUGUUGCUGGCAGUGGACACUGCUCCUGUUCUCCCAUUUCCUGUUCAAAGAUGUUUCUACUCUGGAAAAACAAGAGUCAGCAAAUGGUCCUUUCUGAACUGCUCCCUGUGAGGUCCCAGUGCUGUUCUUGAGAAGAGAUUGGUGGUGUUCUGAGCUCUACAGAGUUGAUGGGAGGAAAUGGAUCUCAGCAAGACCUAAUUUCUACUCUGGUCUUUGCAUAACUGAUACAUAAAGAAAAGAAAACUUUCUAAGUCCCCACCAGUCCCAAUUCUGCAAGGUCCCAAUUCUCUUGGCCUUUAGGACCUUUGAUUACCGUAAUGAGGGAAAAGAGAGAAUUCCUAGGUCAAGUCUUUCCCAGGGGAAUGCUCAGUGCUGACAGUUAGGAGCUGCUUUAUUACCAGGCGGAGCGCGUUUGACCUAGAAUAGGAGACAAUAAGCAGGGAGCUGUAAGGGUCGUUUAAAAUAGUUGUUUAUUGGAUAGAAUUGCACUUUAAGCUCUUGUGUUACCGCUAAAAAGCUCUCUUUGCCAAGUCCUUUUCCCAUCAGCUGCCUGAGCUUCAGGUGUUCUCUGGCCUCCGAGGCUUUUGUCCUCUAAAAGGUCUAAUCCCACCCUCGCAGUUCCACCCCAGCACCAUCCGAUGCUCCCAGGGACUGUUGCCACCUUCUCAUAUUCUCUUGACUUCUCUUGUCACCUGUUUGGUCAGAGGGGAGAAAAAAUAGAGAAAACAUCUCUCGAUGGAUUUGUAUUAACCCCUGGAGUCAUAUGACUGCUCUCACGGUAAAAUCUUGAGUGUUAAGCCGGAUCUUUGGGAGCAGAACUUUCCAGUGAAGAAUUUCUAGUGGCAAACUCUGUAACCUCUUUAUCUCCUGGGAAGACACCAAGUACAUUCCCACCUGUGGUGUAGAGAGAGCAAGACAUACCCUAGGGGUAUGGCUUAGAGGUGUGGGGAGGGUGCAUCUCCCAGGUGUUAUUUUUCCAGCUGGUACAAAAGUAAAAAAAAAAAAAAAGAUAAAAAAAAAGGGAAAUACAUCCUACUCUGCUCUAACCUUGUUCGUGUACUAACAGUUGUGCUACUCCUGAAAAGCAGGGUGGUUGCCAGCGGGUUGGCUGCACUUCUUACAGCAGAGGUGGCUUUGCAAACCUGGAGCUAAGGCUUGGAAAUUUCCCUGUGUUAAUGUGGGACUCUUCCCUACUCCCAGUGGGAUUUUUAAUUUUUUUUUUAAUUUUUUUUUUUUUCCAAAAUUAGAUUUUUUUAUUUAAUUAUUUAUUUGAUUGACUCCAGCCUGGGAAGCAUUGUUUUUAUUGGGCAGAGGCACUUUUGGAUUGAGGCGUGGACUCGACUGGGACCUGAGAAAGGAGGGCAUAUCCCUGACAUGGGCCUUGCCUGGUGAAGCUGCCUCGUGCAGGGACAUCACCUGAGGGCUCAAGGGUGGGCAGAAGAAUCCACUGCAACAGAAACCGUGUGUUAGGGGCAUCAGAGCUGGGAGUGGGGGGGAUACAUGGGGGAGGAGGAAGGCUCUGGUUUCUAGGAGAAGCAGGGUUUCUAUGGGUUUGGGAGGGAAGAGGGUGUUGCCCCAAUGUGCACCAAAAUCUUGAGGUGGUGGGACAGGGGUGAAGGGAAACACCCACCCAGACCCUGUCACUUUAGGUUCAGUCAGCCUGACAGAAUAAUUGCCUGAUUUGCAAGUGCAGAAGGGAAAGAGGGGAAAAAAACCCAACCCAGUCAGUCUUUUCAACACCUUGGUGGUGCUUGGGAUUUCCACCUUGACAAAUAAUCUCUGCUGCUUCUCAGGAGGGACCCUGCACGCUCCAGCCUAACAACCACCUGCUCUCUGCUCCCUUCCUCAAAUGAUUAUGGCACAAAAAGAAAAAAAAAAAAAAGGAGCAUCAAAAUGUCCACCAGCCUCUCCUCUACCACGGAGGUGGGCAGGAAUUAGUUUCUUCUUCCCAGAGACGACCCCAGUGAGAUGCUUCCUAUGGGGGGGUACAUCAUGGUUCCCCGUUCUGGGGAAGAGAAGACCCUCGUUGCACUUAGGAUGUUAAGAAUGUAGAAAGGCCACUGGAGGAUGAUCUCUUGAGCACUGAUUUACUGUGUAAAAAAAAAAAAAAAAAAAAAAAAAAA